rnacentral:rRNA from 1 species
AACGUAGGGGACAAGCGUUAUCCGGAUUUACUGGGCGUAAAGCGCCCGUAGGCGGCCUGACAAGUUGGACGUGAAAGCUCCUGGCUUAACUGGGAGAGGCCGUUCAAAACUGUCAAGCUAGAGUCUGGAAGAGGAGAGCGGAAUUCCCGGUGUAGUGGUGGAAUGCGUAGAGAUCGGGAGGAACACCAGUGGCGAAAGCGGCUCUCUGGUCCAAAACUGACGCUGAGGGGCGAAAGCGUGGGGAGGCGAACGGG